UUGCACGCUGGCGGCAUGCUUUACCCCUGCCAGUCGCACGGUAACAGGCCUUCGGGUGCUGACGAGUGGCGAACGGGUGAGUAAUGCAUCGGAACGUACCCAGAGGUGGGGGAUAACGCAGCGAAAGCUGUGCUAAUACCGCAUGUGAUCUGAGGAUGAAAGCGGGGGACCGAGCAGCAAUGUUUGGCCUCUCGCCUUUGGAGCGGCCGAUGUCGGAUUAGCUAGUUGGUGGGGUAAGGGCCUACCAAGGCGACGAUCCGUAGCUGGUCUGAGAGGACGACCAGCCACACUGGGACUGAGACACGGACCAGACUCCUACGGGAGGCAGCAGUGGGGAAUUUUGGACAAAGGGCGCAAGCCUGAUCCAGCAAUGCCGCGUGCGGGAAGAAGGCCUUCGGGUUGUAAACCGCUUUUGGCAGGAACGAAACGGUGUCCGCUAAUACCGGGCGCUAAUGACGGUACCUGCAGAAUAAGCACCGGCUAACUACGUG
rnacentral:rRNA from 1 species